AGAUUAGUAGGAUGAUUUUUACCUGUUCAUCUCUUCAGAGAGCAGAUAGAUCACGAUGACUGGAGUUCAUUUGCUUUGUGAUUAAUUAAAUUCUCUCCGUGAUGAGGUUCCCAGUACCCUAAUAUCUCCUAUCUGAU